rnacentral:lncRNA from 1 species
GCUGAAUCUCUGUACAGAGGCCCAACCAAAUUAUAGCCAUUUGUUUGUAAAGAUACAAAUGCUCUCUAUUGUUUGAAGGAGUUUACAUACUAUCAUGUGACAGCAGUAUUAGGCUGGCUAUUGGCCCAUCCAUUCAGAUUAGGUUGCCUACAACUUAAAAUAUCAUGAGAUCUCAGCCAAAGGAGGAGAAAAAAAAAUCUCCAGGGCAAUGGAAGAAAAAAUGGCACCUCUCAAAGUAGGCUCCUCUCAUUGACCAUGUUUCAGAUUUAGACCUCAAAAUGUGAACUGGUUAGGCUUGUUGAGCGAGCAGUAAGAAUCGUGACAGUUGGUGGCACAAUGCUUUUUGGCCAGCCCUGCCUGUACACACACAUGCACACCCUCCUUGAUACUUUCGUCCUUUAGAUGCUCCAGUACUUGGUAGUCAUUUGUUUUACAGUUUAGAUCCAUUUUGUUUCAAAUCUAUCCACUCUUAAAACAAUGUCCUUAGUGCUUUAGGUAGUAAUUUUUUUUGCCAGAUAUUUCUUUCUUGUUUAUGAUGAACUGGUUUGGAAUAUUUUUUUCAACCUCCUGUUGGUCACUAAUCUCUCUUGGCACAUUGUAACUAAAGCAAUCCCCUCACUUCAAACGACCAGAUAAGUACAAAUGUCAGGCCAUGGCUUUAAUUUGUUGAGAACACAUGGUAUUUCUCCACAAGGUAACCUGCUGUAUUUAUUUAUUUUCUUUUGGUUAAAUAUAAUGUCCAAACUUUGUGGUCAGGCAGCAUGCAAGGUUACGUUACCACAGACUGACAGUCGGUCUAUGCCAAUCAAUCCCUUCAUUAGACUCACACAGAUUUAGUUAAGUAGCAGUAAGUAGGAUUCUUAGAAGUAUGUCUUCAUAGUACUUUUAAUACUUAAGGCUUUGUAAAAAAAAAAAAAACUAUCCAUGAAGGGAGAGCUCCUCAGCAUAACUGCUCAGGGAAAUAGGGCUAAAUAAUUGAACAUUAAAUAAUUGGUUUAAGGUGCUGUUAGUCGAGCCUCAAUGCUUGCUACAAGGAUGUAUGUACAAGGACUGACUUUAAUAAUUUGCAUUAUAUUGUCCCAACCAGUAGUUUAUUUUUUGCCACGGAGAUGUAGAAGAUAUUACAAGCUACUGGAUGCACUGUCAGAUUAACUUAUUUCAUUAAAGAAGUUGGGAGAACAAAAAGGAAAAAAACUUAUU